UACUAUAUUUAGCUCUAGAGAUAUGAUAGAAGAUGGUUCCCAUUGCCUCUUAGUUACUUGCACUCGAGCUUCAACUCCAUACCAACUCCCGAUCGAUGGACGAAAAUCUGAAAAUCCAACGCUUUGAAGUUCCUCCUUCGGCCUCAAACUUCGAGUUUCUCAUCGAAUCUCGCGACGUUCCCGCUGUUCUUGUAGGAGGCGUUAUGGACUGGAGAUCUUUAUCGGAGUGGAUUUCGUACAAUGGCGGCCUUGGCAAUCUACAGGUUGUAUUUCAACGUUCCCGCUGUAAGCUAGCUUGUUUUGAUAUAUAUAUAUAUAUAUUUUACAAUUUAAUCCUUGUAAUUAAAAAGACGUAAUCAAUAAGUGCCUUGUCAAAGAUUCCUCUGUAAUUCAGCCAUAGGAAUAAGUUGGCAUUUACCAAUGCAUAGGUAACUCCAAAUAAGAUUUGUAAUGAAUUUGUUGAUGUAAAACAUUUAACCGUUACAUUUUUUAACAAGUACGAGGAGAAUGUUGCUGUAAAGAAAAGUAGGAAGACUAGAACGUUAUAAAUGUCAUAAUAUUGGGACUCUCGUGGAGUAUUGUGCUUAAGAUCAAGUUAUUCUGGCCUAUGUUUGAAAGCUUGUAAGCUAUGAUCACUAACUGUAUGAUGAAAAUUUAUAGAUUGAGUUUGAAUACUCAGUAUCUCCAUGAAUAUUGCAUUAUGCUUUUUUCUCAUUAAGGCUAUUGUGAUAGAGUUGGGUUUGACAUCUUUAAAAUUAAGGUCAGAACGAAGUUUUGCAUGUGCCUUGUUCUCUUGCUGACAUGAAUGAAACAAAGAACCAUGAGCAUGUCGUACCAAGUAUCAGAAGGUUGGGCGUUCAAGAGUGUGCUGGAUAAAUACUUGGGAGUAAACUUAAAUGGGCCAAAUCCGGGAUCUUGAAGGGGAAGUCCUUUAAAGAAAUUGGUCCUGCAGAUUCUGGAGCAUAUCGAUGCUAUCCAUUUUCUAAGCUUUUCCUCGAUUGGAAUCACAUAAAGGUAGAUGCACCACUUUGCAUUAUCACCAUGGCUUUUUACUCUCAUCAGCUUGGGAGAAUAUAAAAUAUAUACACAUACUAAGCUGAUUGAACCUCUGGUUAAGCUGGCUACUAAAGGUUGUGUUGUGGGGAAUAUGCACAGAAAUUGAUAAAGCCCCUCUUAGCAACAACAGUAACAAAAGAAAGACUCACCACAGAAUUGCAAUUCAAUCUUCCAGAGCUCUUUGUUGGUAUCAUUUUCAUCCCCGUUGACAUUUUCUUCUUCUUCUUUUUUUUUUUUCUUUAUUUUCCUUUUCUUCCUUUAGGUGUUAGUUUGCAGCAGCACCCAAAUCCCGGACCACCACCACAAACACUCGCUCACUGAGGCACAAAUCCACAUAACACCAUCAACUUAGGUUGCCUUUAUUUUUUAAGAGAGGAAAAAAAGAAAAAAACACUCGCACUUGCAACUAAAUUUUACUGCUCCCUCCAUCUGACUUCACAAAAGGCUUCUCUAUUCAAAUAGUUCCAGUAAUUUCUCAGUUCCUCUAGAAAAGUUGUGAAGGGGAAAAGAAAAAAAAAACAUCUUGGGAUUUGAUUUUUUCAACUGGAAUUUCACCCAUGAUGUGGAAAAAGAAUGUUUUGCCCGUUCUUGCCUGUAAUGGUAAUAAGGUUGAAUAUCCAACUUGUUAGGAAUCACAAAUCUCCACUCCACUUUAAGUAUAAACUCUUAUGGUUUUACUUUUGGUUUUCCCGAAAAGCCUCGUAUCAAUAGAGAUGUAUUCCUUACUUAUAAACCCAUGAUCAUUUCCUUAAUUAGCCAAUGUAGAACUGCCUCCCAACAAUUCUCAACACGACUGAUAGGACAAAUGUGAGUUUUAACCGUCCAAAGAUAGGUUCUACAAGGCCUAAGUCCAAUAUGCCAUAUUUUGAGUUUGUGAGGAAUAAUUUUCAAAGUCCUGUUUCAAAACAGACUCCUAGUCAUCUUAAGUAUAAAACUAGGUAACUUUAAAUGAACCACUUUAAAUUUGUCAUUUUUUACUUGGUCACCACAAGCCUCCAAUCUUGAUCAUUACAAUACAUUAUGAAAAAAGAGGCUGGAAGGAGGAAGAGAGUGGCAUCGCUGUCGCACAAAUGGUGGGUUUGGGGUCCUCUGUAGAGCAGUAGGGGCCAUAACCAUUAACCACACUGGUCGCUCUCGAAGAGUACACGCAUUGGCUCCCACCACCGACAUCUCCCUUUGUCCACAUCCCAAUAUUACUUCUCCUCCUUUCUUAUUCCCAUUACUUUUCUUAUAGGCUCUGAGUUUUUCCCAAUAAUCAUGUGGGAAUUCGGUCAAUCCGAUUCUAUAUGAAUUUGACUCUGUUUUAAUCUUUGCAAUUACUCAAAGUUUGAUUAAAUUGUAAUAAUGUUCUUAUAUAAUUUGAU